CUGUCCUCCUGGAGCUUGUAUCAGAAAAACCACAAAAGGCUGUAUUGUCUAUUCAGUUUUCCAAACUUCAGCCAUCCAGUCCACAAUCAGUUUUCCCCCGGGGCAGUUGAGAAGUCAUUUCUUUCUAUCUUCUUGUUUAUUAACAAGCAAGAACCAGCUACGAAUACAAUCUAGAGCAAGAGUAUGGUCUAGCGUGGACAGGGUAGAACCAGAUAUGAGAUAAACAGGUCAAAAACGGAGCCAUGACCUCAACUUGAAGCAUGAUGGAGAAGCUGGGCAAACGUAGUGCCUAGGAAAGCCAUCUGUUUAUAAAAAAGAUGUCAGAUCUAUCUUCACUUGAUUCGCCAGCCCUAUUAUUAGAAUUUGCUGAGCUUCCCCCUGCCUCAGGACCUUUGAACUUGCUCUUUUUGUACCUGGAAUGAUCUUCUCUCAAGUUUGCACAUGGCUCUCUGCUCUUGUUACUUGGUUCUCGUAAUGAAAAUAAGAUCCUCAGAGGGUCCUUUCCUGACCACCCUAACGCAGCCUUUUCCAGGGUGUACCACUAUACCAUCCUUAUCUUAAAGGGAGGAGAAAACCCAAAGUCUUCCCAAAAUCAAUGGGAUUCAUAGAGAUUUAACAGCGUUGCUGAAUAGAAGAUUCAAG
ensembl:lncRNA